CUACGGGUGGCAGCAGUGGGGAAUAUUGGACAAUGGGCGAAAGCCUGAUCCAGCCAUGCCGCGUGUGUGAAGAAGGCCUUCGGGUUGUAAAGCACUUUCAGUGGGGAAGAAAGCCUUGGGGCUAAUACCCUCGAGGAAGGACAUCACCCACAGAAGAAGCACCGGCUAACUCCGUGCCAGCAGCCGCGGUAAUACGGAGGGUGCGAGCGUUAAUCGGAAUUACUGGGCGUAAAGCGCGCGUAGGCGGUCUGAUAAGCCGGUUGUGAAAGCCCCGGGCUCAACCUGGGAACGGCAUCCGGAACUGGCAGGCUAGAGUGCAGGAGAGGAAGGUAGAAUUCCCGGUGUAGCGGUGAAACGCGUAGAGAUCGGGAGGAAUACCGGUGGCGAAGGCGGCCUCCUGGACUGACACUGACGCUGAGGUGCGAAAGCGUGGGUAGCAAACAGGAUUAGAUACCCGAGUAGUC
rnacentral:rRNA from 1 species